GUUUCCUCCCUGUGAUUCAGUAACAUCUUUCUCUACAGGCAAAGUUUUUUCUUUGAAAGAAAAAUUUAACUGCUCCGAUUCCUUUGUUAUUUAUCUCCUUACAUCAUGUCUGAGGAAAAGGACGGAGCGUCCUUGAAACGUGUUACAUGUGAAUAAAAGUUACCCAUCCAGCUUGUGGACAGCGCUAUCAUCUAUCCCUCAUCCCCUCACACCUGGCUGGUGUGAAAACUCUGCCGUUCUUAUUCCCACGCUGUUGCCUGGGCGGGAUAUAGCUGCAGUCCACAUCGGAUUGUUGUGCCUCUAUCCUAGCACAACUAUAUCUGGCAACAAAGAAGACAAGACAUUUCAAGGAUCAGAGGGAGGAUGGCCAGGAGCAGCCGAAUACAACCAACAAACCAAGAAGAUUGGUUCCUAGCAUGCCUUCAAAAUGCCUAGGACAGGAUAAAGAAAACAUUCAGCAAAGAGAAGUAGAAAGGGGUAAUCCAGGAUGAGAAAAUCAGAGCUGAUUUCUUCUGAAAACUGCACCACCUCUGUCCUAAUGUUGUGUGUGAUAUCGCUGCUCAAUUCUUCAAAAGGGAAUGGAGAAAACUUGUAAUAUUACAUACAACAUGAGGACAGGUAUGGUGCUGUUUUUGGAAACAAAUAGCUCUGUUUUCUAUUCCCUUGUAACAAACUCCUAGGAUGCAGCAACAUUCAUCUGAUGGACGGCACAGGUAGGACACUACAUGUUUUUCUAUACAUUUCUCACUAUUAACACCAGAUUCAUGUAACUAACACAAUCAUUUCAAUGGCCUCAGUGCUGAACUUCUAGACACAUGGGAUAUUUAUCAAAACCUAUGUACAGGAAGAGUAUCAUCUUUCAUCCUUUAGAGAUUUUUGGUGAGAUUUAUCAAAAUCUGUGCAAAGGAAAAGUUGACAAAUUGCCAAUAGCAACCAAUCAGAUUAAUUUUCAUUGUCAGAUUAAAAUUAAUUUUGCAGAGGCCUUGUUAAAAAUAAAAUAAGCAAGCUGAUUGGUUGCUAUGGGCAACUGGGCAACAUUUCCUCUGCACAGGUUUUGAUAAAUUGUGAGCUCCUGGAGGGGACUUUUUUUGUGCGAACUUGGCGAGUAGUACUGGUUGCCUAGUUUUGGUCACCCCAAUGUGAAAUCAGUCAAAUGCAUUCUACACCUCCCCCCUUUUUCUUUAUACUCUUUCCCUACAAUAUCUUUCACCCCCCUGCUAUUUGGGGAAAUUGGAGAAGGGAGUGCUUACACACAUUGUGUUUAAUUUUUUGCGCAAAGUUUUGCGCAAGCUGUUUUUUUGCGUCUUUUUUUGCGCACAUUCUGGUGGAGCAUUUCCUCCAGAUGUGUAAGUUUUGGUGUACCUUGGAGUGACAUAUUUAGUACACACAAAUGUAUUAACUGCGUACAUUUCAUUUACCGACAGAAAUCUUGCGGGAUGACCAUAUUUUUAAAGCCAUCUUGGACUGCACUUAGCAAGAUGCUCUAAAUCAUGCAUUUAAUUUUCCAUUUGGAUUGCGGAGAUUACUAUGCUUUUGUCGCCAGUCAGAUUAUCUCUGUGAUACUUAAAAUCUUUUUCAUGUACCUUUUAAAAAAAAUUUAAUGAUUAUAGACCACUUAUGAUCACCCCUUCACCCGCAG